AUGAUUCCUUCCGCAGUGUACACUUAUCGAAGCCUUUGCAGCCACGCAAGUGGUAGGUCCAGACGACUGUAAACAAGUUGGUACUGUAUGCAAGUCGCGCCCCUCCUCUGGAGAGGUGUUGGCGACACUUUUGAAUUGCGGGGAUACCCUAAAGCCGGUCGCACCAACCUGCGCGGGAAACUGCGCGGGGGCCUAUGAACACCUCAUAGGGGACGGUAACAGACGACCUGGAUAGUUCUGCCGCGGCAGAGACCAUGGGCAAUCCGCAGCGAAGCCCCUACGUCCUCCGGGAUAUGGGGAACGUUCACAGACUAAGUGGAAGUGGGUGGGACGCCGGUCCUGCUUAAGAUAUAGUCGGGCCCCCCGGGAGAACCGGGGGGGGGCAAGUACACUACCCGUUCCGUAGGUGAACCUGCGGAAGGAUCAUUACCGAGUGCGGGCCCUCGUGGCCCAACCUCCCACCCUUGUCUCUAUACACCCGUUGCUUUGGCGGGCCCACCGGGGCCACCUGGUCGCCGGGGGACGUCCGUCCCCGGGCCCGCGCCCGCCGAAGCGCUCUGUGAACCCUGAUGAAGAUGGGCUGUCUGAGUACUAUGAAAAUUGUCAAAACUUUCAACAAUGGAUCUCUUGGUUCCGGCAUCGAUGAAGAACGCAGCGAAAUGCGAUAAGUAAUGUGAAUUGCAGAAUUCCGUGAAUCAUCGAAUCUUUGAACGCACAUUGCGCCCCCUGGCAUUCCGGGGGGCAUGCCUGUCCGAGCGUCAUUUCUGCCCUCAAGCACGGCUUGUGUGUUGGGUGCGGUCCCCCCGGGGACCUGCCCGAAAGGCAGCGGCGACGUCCGUCUGGUCCUCGAGCGUAUGGGGCUCUGUCACUCGCUCGGGAAGGACCUGCGGGGGUUGGUCACCACCAUAUUUACCACGGUGAC
rnacentral:misc_RNA from 1 species